rnacentral:rRNA from 1 species
UACGUAGGGGGCAAGCGUUGUCCGGAAUCAUUGGGCGUAAAGAGCGUGUAGGCGGCCAGAUAAGUCCGCUGUGAAAUCUCGAGGCUCAACUUCGAGCUGUCGGUGGAAACUGUCUGGCUAGAGUCCGGAAGAGGAGAGUGGAAUUCCUGGUGUAGCGGUGAAAUGCGCAGAUAUCAGGAAGAACACCUAUGGCGAAGGCAGCUCUCUGGGACGGUACUGACGCUGAGACGCGAAAGCGUGGGGAGCGAACAGG